GUGUACUUGGAAACAAACACAGGGACCGUCAUCCCCUCCACCUUUCCUAUCUUGUCCACUCGGGCGUCCUGCGAACGCACGCGGCGCCUCGCCUCUUGCCUACGAGCGCACGCGCCUCGCCUCGCCCGCCGAGCGCCGUCCGCCGACACGCGCCGUCCCCCGCCGAGCGCGAGUGCACGCGCCGCGCAUCGCCCGCCGAGCGCCGUCAGCCGGCACAUGUCGUCCGCCGUCCGCCUUGAGACCGGUCGCCAUCCAUUGGCGCCCGCUCGCACCUGGGAUCGCUGACAUCGACCUCCACCACCAAGCCUACUACCCUACAGCCAGCCACCGCCGCCCACUUGUCCCCCAACAUCCACGCCACCCCCACCCCUCGCCGACGCGCUUCAGGACCGCCCCGUUGGCGUCCGUCUCCACCACCAGACACCGCCGCCCGCUACUCAUCUAGGCAUCUUGAGCAGGUCGGGGCGUCGCCGCUCAUCGGUUGGUGGUAAGGACCGCCGGCCAAAUCUGGCGAAACCCGGAUCCAAUCAGUGUUAGGCCAUCUCGUGCACAUCGGUCAUCCGUCUGUCAUUCGUUUUCUCUGCAGCCUCACAUUUCCUGUGCACUGAACGCGAUUCCCUAUGAAUGGAGCAUCUGCCUGCUAGGACCAUGCUGCUGGGAUCACGAGCGUCAGAUUCAUGUGUGUGUCGUGCUUUGGAAUUAAGAUGGUAUUAUCCCGUGUGCUUUGGAUUCAGCUAGGACUACAACAUUAACGAACAUACAGGGUUUGGUUCAGUAAAUAAAUUAUAUAGAUACACAGAGAUAAAAAAGAAGCUCUCCUGUAGUUUUUUAUGUCUUUGCACGCAACGGCCUCUGGGAGUGGUCAUUGUCCUUCCCUUGCUCCCCUCUAAUUUCCUGUAUUUCUGCAUAUUUGUUCAGCAAAUCUCUACUUUAUUACUGCUUCAUCUUGUUCCUAUGUUUAAUUUGGAAUAGCCACUAAUAAUCUUGCUCUGACAACUGGACAUUGACGAAUAUGCAGUUAGUUUGACAAAUGAAUAUCAGUUGCUCUGACAACUGCACAUCUUGUUGCACUUAGUAGUGUGCUAAAUUAAAUUCAUUUGUUUUUCUAAUCUAUAGGUUUAGUACAGCAAGGUCAACAACAGCAAAAUAGAAUUGUAAAGGGGAACCUUUUGAAAUAGAAGACACAAAAAGUAAAGUUGGAGCGCUUCUUUGCCCCUCUCUGCUAAUUAGUGCACCGUUAUCAUGGUCAUUUUGUAUUAUCAAGACAAAACUCUUAAUGUACUUGCAUGUAGAAAUUAAGUGGUUGCAAUUCAGGCCACCUAAAUGGGAUUGGUGGUAGUGGUACUAUCCUUUUGUCGGUGCUAAUUCAAGCCACUGCAUGUCGUCACAAGUGGCAAGGAAUAGGAAGCAUUGGUUGAUGGGUCGAGGGGAUCCACAUGUGAGAAGGGUGCUGACUUGGAUAUGCUUGGGUUUUUUAAUUCGGGCCAAUCAGCUCCAUGUAUCGGUUAGGGAGAGUGUUAUCAAUUUCUCAUGAUUUUGGGGUGACUUUUUACAAUUGGUCAGCUAUCGGCCACCGGCUGAUUUUGUGAUCAUGUUUUCUAUUUAUUGAGUAGAAAUCUAUUUUGCAUCUAAUGGAUACAUUCAGAUUUCUAAUGCACACCAUUUAUUUUGAUAUUGGAAGGGGUUUCUAUAAGCAUCCAUCCAUAUAAUAUAUUUAAAAAUGUUACUGAAAAAUCAUCUUGAAGUAUACUUAGCUUCUUGAAUACCGAUCAUUUUAUUGUAAGGUGUUUCUAUAAUGCUCUUAUGUCUGCGCAGGUUGCAUGAAAGAAAUUUACUCAAAUCAAGCAGACAUUGGUUGUUCAACUCAUUGUUUUUGAUCCUCACUUUUCUCCCAGGUUGGUGACUAGCUCUUUGUCGUCUAUUAGAAAAAUCUCAGCAAGUUUCAUUUCUUGGUCUAAAUGGUCAAUAGAGUUGUAACUUUGUAUGUCAGUCCAAAUAUUCUGGGAAUUAGAAUUGCAGCUUUGACCAUCGUUGUUCUUUCUAAAAUUUUUGAUCUUUAAAAUAGAAGUGAUUGACAGAUUAUAAAUUAAAUCCAGUGUGCAUCCCUACUAUGUAGACCAGGUUCUGACAAUAUCAGAUAUUAGAAGCCUGAAGCCUACUUUUCAUACUAUUUUUUAUUGCAUAUUGUAAUUUUGAAAAAAUAUUCAUUUGCUGCUUUUUAAUCAAGGUUCAAUUUGUUUUGUUUUAGUGUCUCAAUAAGAAGUUAUAUUUGUGGUUAUCUCAUAUCAGGAAGAACCCACUGUAAUCAUUCUUAAUCUGCACAUACACCUAGCAACAGAUAAACUUGCUUUAAAUACAAUCUAAGCUUUACUCUACCUUUGAGGUUCAAACUCAUAGCUGAACAUGUUGAUGUGAACAAAUGUUACUGCUCGUGAGAAGAAGUUGCCAAGCGGGCUUAUUGUCAUUUGUGGCUGGAACAAAACGUUAAACUCCUCACUGCAGGCACUUGAAUGGAAAAUACCAGAAAAGUCUGAUGCUGCCUCUGACAGGGAUGCUUUCAGAGAGAGUGAGAACCAAAUACUGUUAGGUGCACACCUGCCAAUUGUAAAUCAUAUAGGUAUUUUAUAAGAAAUUAUACAGUUCAUAUACUUGACAAUAUUAUUAUACCAUAACUAUAUUACCAAGCAUGACAGACUUUCUGUCUUGCUUGACUUUGGAUCAGCAUGAGCUUAAUUUCCAAUAGGAUCAGUCGGCUUAGCGUUUUCUGUUUGGUGGCCUAUUGUAUCACAUCUUUUUUAGCUUUUCAUGAUUGUGGCCUAAGAUUUAUGUGUCAAUUUUACUUUUUAAUAUGAUAAAUGGCAGUUGUAUC